rnacentral:misc_RNA from 1 species
UUAUUUUGUUAAAAUAAGACACGUUCGUUACACUGUUGUUUGUAAAAUAGGCGCGAACGCCAUGGUGCACAGGUGUGUGUAUAGAAAAAGGCCGGAGCCAAUCAAUAAUGAUCCUUCCGCAGGUUCACCUACGGAAA